rnacentral:lncRNA from 1 species
AUUUUGUAUAGGAGGGAAUUUGUCUUAUGGCAUCGAGAAAAGGUAUAUUUAUCCGAACAGUUUUAAAGACUUCCAUGAUUUCAUCAAAGUUAGAUUGUUUCUUGGAGUCCUGAAGUCUACUGGGAAAGGGAACCUUAGGUUUGUAUGUUUCUAUGGGUUCUUUCUUUUUGUCUGAUUUAUCCUGUUCUUGACCCUUCUUCUGAAUAGGGUUCUUAUCGGAUUCAGUUUUAUUUUCUUUUUCAUGUUCAGAAACUUGGACUUUAUUGUCCACUUGCUUACCAAACCUUAAAGUGGUAAUUGCCUGGACUUCAUAGGUCGGAUUUUCAUUAGAAUUGAUUUGAUACUGACCUAUCUGACCUUGAUUUUGCUGUCUACUAGGGUUAGGCACUGGUUGACUAGGUAAUUCUCCUUUCUUCCUAUCCCCUAGAGAGUUUGCUAUUUGGCUUAGACUAACCUCAAGUUUUGCAAUUGCUUGAGAAUGGAAUUGGUUAGUCUGGGCUUGGGCUGUAUUGGUCUGUUGUUGUUGCUCGAUAAAAUCUUAUUGUUGUUUCAUCAUAUUGGCCAUCAUGGUUUCUAAUGGUGAAGGUUGCUGUGGGAUAGGGGCAUUAUAAGGAGGUACAGAUGGAACCAAAGAUUGGUUCAUUUGUGAUGGUCCUAUCCUGGG